rnacentral:rRNA from 1 species
GUUUGAUCCUGGCUCAGGACAAACGCUGGCGGCGUGUAUUAGGCAUGCAAGUCGCACGGACCUUCGGUCAGUGGCGGACGGGUGAGUAACACGUGGGUAACCUGCCUCGCAGUGGGGAAUAACCCGUCGAAAGACGGGCUAAUACCGCAUACUACUCCCGGUGAGAUUCCGGGCAGUAAAAGCAGUAAUGCGCUGUGAGAGGGGCCCGCGGCCGAUUAGCUAGUUGGUGGGGUAAUGGCUCACCAAGGCGACGAUCGGUAGCUGGUCUGAGAGGAUGGUCAGCCACACGGGGACUGAGAUACGGCCCCGACUCCUACGGGAGGCAGCAGCUAAGAAUCUUGCGCAAUGGGCAACCCUGAUCCAGCCAUGCCGCGUGAGUGAAGAAGGCCUGGUUGUAAGCUCUUCAGCCGGGAAGAAGACGCACUCUCU